GAUGAAGAACGUAGCGAAAUGCGAUAAGUAAUGUGAAUUGCAGAAUUCAGUGAAUCAUCGAAUCUUUGAACGCACCUUGCGCUCCUUGGUAUUCCGAGGAGCAUGCCUGUUUGAGUGUCAUUAAAUUCUCAACCUCACCAGUUUUGUAACGAGACGGGUGAAGGCUUGGAUGUGGGGGUUUUGCAGGCUGCCUCAGUGCUGGUCUGCUCUCCUGAAAUGCAUUAGCGAGCUCAUAUUGAGCUUCCGUCUAUUGGUGUGAUAAUUAUCUACGCCGUGGAUUGGACUCAUGCUUGCUUCUAACCGUCCGCAAGGACAAUUUACUUGACCAAUUUGACCUCAAAUCAGGUAGGACUACCCGCUGAACUUAAGCAUAUCAAUAAGCGGAGGA
rnacentral:misc_RNA from 1 species